rnacentral:rRNA from 1 species
GCAGAACGCGAAGAACCUUACCCACCUUUGACAUGUACGGAAUUUGCCAGAGAUGGCUUAGUGCUCGAAAGAGAACCGUAACACAGGUGCUGCAUGGCUGUCGUCAGCUCGUGUCGUGAGAUGUUGGGUUAAGUCCCGCAACGAGCGCAACCCUUGCCAUUAGUUGCUACGAAAGGGCACUCUAAUGGGACUGCCGGUGACAAACCGGAGGAAGGUGGGGAUGACGUCAAGUCCUCAUGGCCCUUAUAGGUGGGGCUACACACGUCAUACAAUGGCUGGUACAAAGGGUUGCCAACCCGCGAGGGGGAGCCAAUCCCAUAAAGCCAGUCGUAGUCCGGAUCGCAGUCUGCAACUCGACUGCGUGAAGUCGGAAUCGCUAGUAAUCGUGGAUCAGCAUGUCACGGUGAAUACGUUCCCGGGUCUUGUACACACCG